AGAUUGAAAAAAUGUAGACUUGGUUUUAAGUUGGAUCUAAGUGUAAAGUUCCAAUUCACAAAUAUGUUCCGGACUAUUUAUACAGUUUUGAGUUGCUUAGCUCUACGAUCCAGCAAUUCGCAGGUUGCGAAACCUCCUCAUUUGGUGAUGCUCGUAGUUGAUGAUUUAGG